UUGGAGGGCAAGUCUGGUGCCAGCAGCCGCGGUAAUUCCAGCUCCAACAGCGUAUAUUAAAGUUGUUGCAGUUAAAAAGCUCGUAGUUGAAUUUCGGGGUCAGUAGGUUGGUCAUGCCACAGGUAUGUACUGGUCUCACUGAUUCCUCCUUCCUGAUGAACUGUAAUGCCAUUAAUUUGGUGUUGCAGGGAAUCUGGACUGUUACUUUGAAAAAAUUAGAGUGUUUAAAGCAGGCUAACGCCUGAAUACAUUAGCAUGGAAUAAUGAAAUAGGACGUUCGAUCCUAUUUUGUUGGUUUCUAGGAUUGACGUAAUGAUUAAUAGGGAUAGUUGGGGGCAUUAGUAUUCAAUUGUCAGAGGUGAAAUUCUUGGAUUUAUUGAAGACUAACUACUGCGAAAGCAUUUGCCAAGGAUGUUUUCAUUAAUCAAGAACGAAAGUUAGGGGAUCGAAGACGAUCAGAUACCGUCGUAGUCUUAACCAUAAACUAUGCCGACUAGGGAUCGGAUGAUGUUAAUUUUUUAAUGACUCAUUCGGCGCCUUACGGGAAAC
rnacentral:rRNA from 1 species